rnacentral:pre_miRNA from 2 species
UAUUAGGUUGAUGCAAAAGUAAUUGCGGUUUUUGCCUUUUUUUUAAAAAAAAAAGAAUGGCAAAAACCGCAAUUACUUUUGCAUCAACCUAAUA